rnacentral:rRNA from 1 species
AUUGAACGCUAGCGGGAUGCUUUACACAUGCAAGUAGAACGAGUGGCGGACGGGUGAGUAAUAUAUCGGAACGUGCCCAGUAGAGGGGGAUAACUACUCGAAAGAGUGGCUAAUACCGCAUACCUUUAGAGCGGCCGAUAUCGGAUUGGCUAGUUGGGGGGGUAAAGGCUCACCAAGGCCACGAUCCGUAGCUGGUUUGAGAGGACGACCAGCCACACUGGGACUGAGACACGGCCCAGACCCCUACGGGAGGCAGAAGUGGGGAAUUUUGGACAAUGGGGGAAAUCCGGAUCCAGCCAUCCCGCGUGUAUGAGAAGGCCUUCGGGUUGUAAAGUACUUUGGGCAGAGAAGCGGUAUCUGCAGAAUAAGCAACGGCUAACUACGUGCCAGCAGCCGCGGUAAUUC